GCUGACACAGCAUGGUAAAACGGAAUUCAACCAAAGAGGAAAACCUGCAAUACCUUUUCACAGGCAAUUCUGAGUUAUGCUGAUUCAUUCUGACUUAAAGCUGCAAUAACACUUGAAGAAGACAGAUUUGAAAAUUCACCAACUAACAAGAUGGGAGGAGGAAAACCCGCUAAUCUGAUGCUAGAGGGACCCCGCCUUUGUCAUAAUGGGUUGAGCUGCUCAGGACAAGAGUCCACUUCACCAGGAAGACUUUCAUCAGCAUGGCUGUUUGGAAGCUUAAGUCAUACCCUUUGAAGGCUAUUACAGAAACAAGACCAAAGCAUCAACAAAAUACACUCUUCUCACAACCCACGGUGAACAUCUCCCACUAACGGAAGCAGAUCACUGUUUAUCUUUGUUCUCUGUGCCAACCUAGCCGAAAAAGAUGGAACGUCUACCGUAAAAGAAACCUAGCCAAUAUUCGAUUAUGCAAUCUGAUGAGACAGAAAAAAGGAAAGCUUGGAUUUAUGGAUUUGUGAAUUUUAACUUCUGACCAAAUCUUAUACAAGAGCUCUUUUCUAAAUAAAUCAGUCUUAAAGAGAUUCCAAA